rnacentral:rRNA from 1 species
GAUUAGUGGCGCACGGGUGAGUAAUGUAUAGCUAAUGUGCCCCUUAGAGGGGGAUAACAGUUGGAAACGACUGCUAAUACCCCAUACUCCUUCUUCUCAUAAGGGAAGUUGGGAAAGUUUUUUCGCUAAGGGAUCGGGCUAUAUGGUAUCAGCUUGUUGGUGAGGUAAUGGCUCACCAAGGCUAUGACGCCUAUCUGGUCUGAGAGGAUGAUCAGACACACUGGAACUGAGACACGGUCCAGACUCCUACGGGAGGCAGCAGUGGGGAAUAUUACACAAUGGAGGAAACUCUGAUGUAGCAACGCCGCGUGGAGGAUGACACAUUUCGGUGCGUAAACUCCUUUUAUGUGAGAAGAUAAUGACGGUAUCACAUGAAUAAGCACCGGCUAACUCCGUGCCAGCAGCCGCGGUAAUACGGAGGGUGCAAGCGUUACUCGGAAUCACUGGGCGUAAAGCGCGCGCAGGCGGCUUUGUAAGUUGGAUGUGAAAUCCUAUGGCUCAACCAUAGAACUGCAUCCAAAACUACUUAGCUAGAGUCUGGGAGGGGAAGAUGGAAUUAGUGGUGUAGGGGUAAAAUCCGUAGAGAUCACUAGGAAUACCAAAAGCGAAGGCGAUCUUCUGGAACAGUACUGACGCUGAGGCGCGAAAGCGUGGGGAGCAAACAGGAUUAGAUACCCUGGUAGUCCACGCCCUAAACGAUGAAUGUUAGUCGUCGGAGAGCUCGUCUCUUCGGUGAUGCAGCUAACGCAGCAAAAAUACAUUGCUCCGAGGGAGUACGGAAGCAAGAUUAAAAGGUCAAAGGAAUAGACGGGGGACCCACACAAAGCGGUGGAGCAUGUGGUUUAAUUUGAGGAUACGGGAAGACCCUUACGUAUCCUUGACAUUGAUGGAAUUAGCUAGAGAUAGCGGAGUGCCCUACGGGGAGCUUGAAACCAGGUGCUGCAGGGCUGACGUCAGCUCGUGUCAAGAGAAGUUGGGUGUAAGUCCAGCAAUGAGCGCAACCCUGGUCGCUAGUUGCCAAACGGUUCGGCCGAGGACGAAAGUGAGACCGCCUUCCUAAGGAGGAGGAAGGUGAGGAUGACGUCAAGUCAUCAUGGCCCUUCCGCCCAGGGGGCCACACGUGCAUCAAUGGGAUGUACAAUGAGGACGCAAUCCCGCGAGGUGGAGCAACUCUAUAAAACUUCUCUCAGUUCGGAUAGUAGUCUGCAACUGGACUGCACGAAGGAGGAAUCACUAGUAGUGGUAGAUCAGCCAUGCUACGGUGAAUACGUUCCCGGUUAUGGCACUCACCGCCCGUCACACCAUGGGAGUUGAUUCCACCCGAAGCGGGGAAGCUAAC